rnacentral:rRNA from 1 species
UACGUAGGGUGCAAGCGUUACUCGGAAUUACUGGGCGUAAAGCGUGCGCAGGCGGUGAUGUAAGUGAGUUGUGAAAUCCCCGGGCUCAACCUGGGAACUGCAUCUGUGACUGCAUCGCUGGAGUACGGCAGAGGGGGAUGGAAUUCCGCGUGUAGCAGUGAAAUGCGUAGAUAUGCGGAGGAACACCGAUGGCGAAGGCAAUCCCCUGGACCUGUACUGACGCUCAUGCACGAAAGCGUGGGGAGCAAACAGG